rnacentral:tRNA from 1 species
AGAUACUUAGGUUAUACAAAACCAGGGGCCUUCAAAGCCCCAAAAAGUGAACCACCACUAGUACCUG